UACGUAGGGGGCUAGCGUUGUCCGGAUUUAUUGGGCGUAAAGAGCGUGUAGGCGGCCAGGUAGGUCUGCUGUGAAAACUCGAGGCUUAACCUCGAGAUGUCGGCGGAAACCAUCUGGCUAGAGUCCGGGAGAGGUGAGUGGAAUUCCCAGUGUAGCGGUGAAAUGCGUAGAUAUUGGGAGGAACACCAGUGGCGAAGGCGGCUCACUGGACCGGAACUGACGCUGAGGCGCGAAAGCGUGGGGAGCAAACAGG
rnacentral:rRNA from 1 species